GACGAACGCUGGCGGCGUGCUUAACACAUGCAAGUCGAACGGAAAGGCCCUGCUUUUGUGGGGUGCUCGAGUGGCGAACGGGUGAGUAACACGUGAGUAACCUGCCCUUGACUUUGGGAUAACUUCAGGAAGCUGGGGCUAAUACCGGAUAGGAGCUCCUGCUGCAUGGUGGGGGUUGGAAAGUUUCGGCGGUUGGGGAUGGACUCGCGGCUUAUCAGCUUGUUGGUGGGGUAGUGGCUUACCAAGGCUUUGACGGGUAGCCGGCCUGAGAGGGUGACCGGCCACAUUGGGACUGAGAUACGGCCCAGACGCCUACGGGAGGCAGCAGUGGGGAAUAUUGCACAAUGGGCGGAAGCCUGAUGCAGCAACGCCGCGUGCGGGAUGACGGCCUUCGGGGUGUAAACCGCUUUCGCCUGUGACGAAGCGUGAGUGACGGUAAUGGGUAAAGAAGCACCGGCUAACUACGUG
rnacentral:rRNA from 1 species